rnacentral:tRNA from 1 species
AUUUUUAUAGUGUAAUAUAACACAUUACAUUUUCACUGUAAAGAUAAAGAAUUUCUUUUUUAAAUA